UACGGGGGGGGCAAGCGUUGUUCGGAAUUACUGGGCGUAAAGGGCUCGUAGGUGGCCAACUAAGUCAGACGUGAAAUCCCUCGGCUUAACCGGGGAACUGCAUCUGAUACUGGAUGGCUUGAGAUUGGGAGAGGGAAGCGGAAUUCCCGGUGUAGUGGUGAAAUGCGUAGAUAUCGGGAGGAACACCAGUGGCGAAGGCGGCUUCCUGGCCUGCUCUUGACGCUGAGGCGCGAAAGCUAGGGGAGCAAACGGG
rnacentral:rRNA from 1 species